UCGGACGUUUUUCGGCUCUUUUGCUAUAUUUAUCGAACCACUUGAUGGAUUUUAAAAUAAUAUACAUUUUUAGAAAGAUGACGAUUACAUCUUUUGGAAAAUACUUAAUUUUAUAAAAUCCGUGGCUCAGAAGUUAUACCCAAAAUUCCGAAUCGCCUCUUGAAUCGGCGACCAAAAUCGGCGGCUAGAAAAUAGCACCUUUACGCAUAAGUACCAUACGAACAGCUUUAUAAUGUAUGAUUACUAAAUGCCAUAAAUCUUGACGGAAAGUGAGAAAAUUGAAAUGAAGAUACAAGCUAAUCAUAUGAUAUUCAAUCAAUGAAGAAAAAAACAUCAGAAGCUUAAUGGUGCAACCGAAUAAUAGAUUAGAUAGAACUUUGCGAGAAAACACGUAUCUUUGCUUACUUUAUAAAAAAACGUCUUUUAAGGGUCAUUUGAAUAGCAAAGAAUGAUUGAAUCAAAAGAAAACAUUGAUUAAUAAACAAGUCCAUCCGGAUUUCUUCAUACUUUUUUACCAUGGAGCCGAACGGGACUGUCUGCACUUGAAACCAAAUUGAAAAAUGUUGAAUUAGCAGAAAUAUUUGAAGUUUUUCGUUUUUGGGAGUUCUUGGAGUUGAUGUCAUGAAUCCCAAAUUUAAGGCUGAACAAGAAAUUAAGUUAAAUGACAUUUUGAAAAGAUUGGGUAUGGUUGAAAUGUUCGAUCAAAACAAAGCCAAUUUCCAUAGAAUUUCUGGUACAGUGCAACAAUUUUAUGUAGAUAGCGUUAUUCACAAGACUCUAAUUGAUGUUACCGAGGACGGUUUGGAGGCGGCUGCUGCAUCACUAAUAAGGUUUUAUUUGUGAAGUGAUCCCCCAAUAAUACUUCCGAUAGAAAGAUUCCACGUUCAUCAUCCAUAUAUUACAUUUGGAAAACAGAAACGAAAACCGCCGUUUUAACCGGUCGCAUUACAAAGUUCAAUUGAAAGCCAAUUUAUCACGAUAAUAUUUCAAUACGAAGA